UCGAGAAUUUUUCACAAUGGGCGAAAGCCUGAUGGAGCGACGCCGCGUGGGGGAUGAAUGGCUUCGGCCCGUAAACCCCUGUCAUUCGCGAGCAAACGUUAUUAUUUAAAAGAUGAUAGCCUGAUAGUAGCGAUAGAGGAAGGGACGGCUAACUCUGUGCCAGCAGCCGCGGUAAUACAGAGGUCCCAAGCGUUGUUCGGAUUUACUGCGUAAAGGGUGCGUAGGUGGUGGGGUAAGUCGGAUGUGAAAUCUCCGAGCUCAACUCGGAAAGUGCAUUGGAAACUACCCUGCUCGAGGGUUGGAGGGGGGACUGGAAUACUUGGUGUAGCAGUGAAAUGCGUAGAUAUCAAGUGGAACACCAGUGGCGAAGGCGAGUCCCUGGACAACUCCUGACACUGAGGCACGAAAGCUAGGGGAGCAAACAG
rnacentral:rRNA from 1 species